AAUACCCAAUCCUGACACAGGGAGGUAGUGACAAGAAAUAACAAUACAGGGCUUUCGUCUUGUAAUUGGAAUGAUGGUGAUGUACAACCUCACCAGAGUACCAAUUGGAGGGCAAGUCUGGUGCCAGCAGCCGCGGUAAUUCCAGCUCCAAUAGCGUAUAUUAAACUUGUUGCAGUUAAAAAGCUCGUAGUUGUAUUUCAGCCUCGCGUUUUUUCCCUGGUUUUGGGUCUUUUCGCUGGCUUUUUUUUUACUUUGAGAAAAUUAGAGUGUUUCAAGCAGACUUUUGUCCUGAAUACUUCAGCAUGGAAUAAUAGAGUAGGACCUUGGUUCUAUUUUGUUGGUUUUGAGCCUUGGUAAUGGUUAAUAGGAACGGUUGGGGGCAUUCGUAUUUAA
rnacentral:rRNA from 1 species